rnacentral:tRNA from 1 species
CAGAAGGUAGUUUAAUGUAAAAUGCCAGCUUUGGGAGUUGGUGAUAGGGGUUUAAGCCCCCUUUUUCUGA